rnacentral:lncRNA from 1 species
UUUGCUUUGUAGUUCUUACCUAGGCUGGGCAUUCUACUGCACCACUAUUAAGGCCACCUAUGACGUCAUGAGGGUGGUGGCCAUCAACAUGCAGCCCACAGACUGGGCAGUCCCCAGGAUCUCUUUAAUGGUGCCAGAAAGUUCUCAGGGUCCUUGAGGGCUUUGAUAAUCAGGGCAGAAGCAAAAGGACCCACUUCAAUCUGGGCCUGUCUGUUAUGAGGAGUCCGUUUCACUGUACUCCUCAGACCCUUCCAAUCACUGGUUGCCUUGGUGAAGUCAAACCAACCUUUUUUGGAGGCAGACGCAGUUGGCCGAUCUUUGGGGCCAGGAAACAUGUGGCACCGGCACUGCCACCAGUGUCUCAGUCCCUAAGCGUGUGUGAGACCUUGAGAGAAGAGACUAUGGCUACCAUCUUCUGGAGCUGUGAGUAGCAGAGGCUAAGGAACAGAAAAUAUAAAUUAUUUUAAUCAAGCAAGUAAAGUCAAAUGAAAAUAAACCAGGCUCACUAGUAGACA